rnacentral:rRNA from 1 species
AUUGAACGCUAGCGGGAUGCUUUACACAUGCAAGUCGAACGAGUGGCGGACGGGUGAGUAAUAUCUGGGAACGUGCCCAGUGGAGGGGGAUAACUACUCGAAACAGUAGCUAAUACCGCAUACUAUCGGAGGUGCCCAGAUGGGAUUAGCUAGUUGGUGGGGUAAAGGCUCACCAAGGCGACGAUCCGUAGCUGGUCUGAGAGGAUGACCAGCCACACGGGGACUGAGACACGGUCCAGACUCCUACGGGAGGCAGCAGUGGGGAAUUUUGGACAAUGGGGGAAAGCCUGAUCCAGCCAUGCCGCGUGUAUGAUGAAGGCCUUCGGGUUGUAAAGUACUUUUAGCGGGGAGGCGUUAUCCGCAGAAUAAGCACCGGCUAACUACGUGCCAGCAGCCGCGGUAAUAC